AUCCAAGUAGCUUAAUUAAAGCUUAAUAUUGAAGAUAUUAUGAUAAGUUUAUCUUCUUGGAUA
rnacentral:tRNA from 1 species